GGAAGCAGAAAGAGAGAGAGUGAGGCUGAGGGGAGAACAGAGACCAGGUUUAUUCAGUCUGGAGAUGUUCUUUCAGGCCAUGUGUUCUUCUAGGAAAGGGAGAUACUGUGGAGCUUAGAGGCUUGACCCCGGCCCUUAGGUCUUUGGGUCUUCUCGUUGAGGCAAGAAGGAGCCAUUGAUGGUGUUAAGCAGGAAAAGCAGCAAGAUCCGAUUUGCAUUUUAGGAUUAUUCCUCUGGCUGAAUGCAAAUGAGUUGGAGGGGGCGACAUGGAGGAGGGAGGCAGAGUCACUGGUAAUCAAAAAGUAGAUGAUAAAGGCCUGAACAGGGAGGAAGAUCUCCACACAGCCCUGGUUUCCCAAGAGCCAGGGAGAGUCACAGGGCUUACUCAUGCCUGGAGUGGUGGACUCAUGCUCUAAACCAGUCUUCAUCAUGGACAUUUGGAGCCCUGUGCUGCUAUUGAUAAGAAGCAGGUCUCUUGAUCCAGUCUACCCUCUAAGGGAGGAAAUUGUGAAAGACCACAAAUACCAGGUGUGGGAAUUAUUGGAGUCAUGUCAGAAGCUACCUAAGG